rnacentral:misc_RNA from 1 species
AUAAAACCCCUUUUGAUGCACUUUGUUUGCAUAGUGGAAUUGUGUGACAUAUUUUGGCAUCCAAUGUGCACUGGUCUAUUCGUCUAGACACAUUUGUCAGUAAAUAUUAAAAGAAACUAGGUGAAUUACCACAUGGAUAUCUAAAUUUUUACAAGUGUGUGUAUGUUUUUUCUCAGGGUUUUGACAUUCCCUCUCAAGCUCGGAGUUACUCGGAUUUUUCAUUACCGAAUUUUCUUCACGACAGUUGCAGCUCCUCAGCAAAAAGUGACCCAAAUUCUGUCUCGGGUCCAAUAGAUUUUCCGGAGUCUGCUACGGCUGCAAAGCUUCCGGGAAAAGCAAGAAAAAGUUCAAGAGAUAGGAGAUUUAAUAUUGUUGCAGACUUUGCCAGCUCAGGAAAAUCAAUGAGACGGAAGCCGAAAACUGAUGAAUUCAGGCAGCACAGAGACUCCCGGAGACCGUUUAUGUAUAGGAGGUUAAAAUUACAGAAAAUGAAGUUGAAGACGACACUGACCAAUAAGAAGCUACAGUGUCACAUUUCUUGUACCACCUCCUUGUAUAGUGUGGUUCGGAGGCCCAAGGGGUCAGAGAGUAGCCCCCAAAAGAAAGAGGGCCACUCUGACGAACGUGGCACAGAGUCAAAAAGUUACAAAGAGAAAGGUGGCCCCAAGAAGAGUAGCCAGGGGUACUCGUACGACAAUAGGAGAAAGACUCGCAGCUCUUCUGAGAGCACUGCGAGUUCCAUGACGGAUGAUGUAGCAAGUUCUAUGACAGAUGAUGCAAUGCCAUCAGACUCGGAGUCUGUUUUAGAGUCUAUUACCUCAUCUUCAUCAGCGGAAGAAAAUCAGGAUAGUCAAGUUGGGAAUAUAGUGUUUGCCAGUUUGAAAGGUAGCGCCAGUAUCUCACGAUGGUGGCCAGCCAUCGUUAUAGAAGGGAAAGAAGUGAAUAAAUCAGAAAAAUCAGGAUUUCUCUGGAUCUUUUGGUUCGGAGAUCACAGAAUAUCUCAGUUUCAGUAGGAAAACCAAAUCUUCUUAAAUUUGUGUUCGUUGAGGAUGUAAAUUUGCAGCUGAGGGCUACCCACGAAUACCAAGAAAAUUUAGCCACUUCAAAUUCCAAUGAUUGCACAGUAUUUUCUGUUUUUGAAACAUUUUGAUUAUUUCUUUUGGUUUUGUUAUACUGUGGUUUCAUUAUUCGUUGAACCCUGAUUUUCAUGCUUUUUUGUUGACUUAAUCCAUCAAAUCAAAUGUUCAUUG